CAAUAGCGUAUAUUUAAGUUGUUGCAGUUAAAAAGCUCGUAGUCGGAUUUUGGCUGAGAACGAUCGGUCCGCCGUUAGGUGUGCACUGAUUGGUCUCAGCUUCCUGGUGAGGAGGUGUGCUUCACGGCCACUUAGUCACCGUGGUUACUUUGAAAAAAUUAGAGUGUUCAAAGCGGGCUUACGCUUGAAUAUAUUAGCAUGGAAUAACACCAUAGGACUCCUGUCCUAUUUCGUUGGUCUCGGGACGGGAGUAAUGAUUAAGAGGAACAGUUGGGGGCAUUCGUAUUUCAUUGUCAGAGGUGAAGUUCUUGGAUUUAUGAAAGACGAACUUCUGCGAAAGCAUUUGCCAAGGAUGUUUUCAUUGA
rnacentral:rRNA from 1 species